AUUGAACGCUGGCGGCAGGCUUAACACAUGCAAGUCGAGCGGUAGCACAGGGGAGCUUGCUCCCUGGGUGACGAGCGGCGGACGGGUGAGUAAUGUCUGGGAAACUGCCUGAUGGAGGGGGAUAACUACUGGAAACGGUAGCUAAUACCGCAUAACGUCGCAAGACCAAAGAGGGGGACCUUCGGGCCUCUUGCCAUCAGAUGUGCCCAGAUGGGAUUAGCUAGUAGGUGGGGUAAUGGCUCACCUAGGCGACGAUCCCUAGCUGGUCUGAGAGGAUGACCAGCCACACUGGAACUGAGACACGGUCCAGACUCCUACGGGAGGCAGCAGUGGGGAAUAUUGCACAAUGGGCGCAAGCCUGAUGCAGCCAUGCCGCGUGUGUGAAGAAGGCCUUCGGGUCGUAAAGCACUUUCAGCGAGGAGGAAGGUGGUGAGCUUAAUACGUUCAUCAAUUGACGUUACUCGCAGAAGAAGCACCGGCUAACUCCGUG
rnacentral:rRNA from 1 species